UAAAUGACUCUCGGCAACAAAUAUCUCGCCUCUCACAUCGAUGAAGAACAUAGCGAAAUGUGAUACUUGGUGUGAAUUGCAGAAUCCCGUGAACCAUUGGGUCUUUGAACGUAAGUUUUGCCCGAAGCCAUUAGGUUGAGGGCACGUCUACCUGGGCAUCUCAC
rnacentral:rRNA from 1 species